AGAUUGAACGCUGGCGGCAGGCCUAACACAUGCAAGUCGGGCGGUAGAGAGGUGCUUGCACCUCUUGAGAGCGGCGGACGGGUGAGUAAUGCCUAGGAAUCUGCCUAGUGGUGGGGGAUAACGGUUCGGAAACGGACGCUAAUACCGCAUACGUCCUACGGGAGAAAGCGGGGGACCUUCGGGCCUCGCGCCAUUAGAUGAGCCUAGGUCGGAUUAGCUAGUUGGUGAGGUAAUGGCUCACCAAGGCGACGAUCCGUAACUGGUCUGAGAGGAUGAUCAGUCACACUGGAACUGANACACGGUCCAGAC
rnacentral:rRNA from 1 species